CGGAGGAUCCAAGCGUUAUCCGGAAUCAUUGGGUUUAAAGGGUCCGUAGGCGGUUUAGUAAGUCAGUGGUGAAAGCCCAUCGCUCAACGGUGGAACGGCCAUUGAUACUGCUAGACUUGAAUUAUUAGGAAGUAACUAGAAUAUGUAGUGUAGCGGUGAAAUGCUUAGAGAUUACAUGGAAUACCAAUUGCGAAGGCAGGUUACUACUAAUGGAUUGACGUUGAUGGACGAAAGCGUGGGUAGCGAACAGGAUUAGAUACCCUGGUAGUCCACGCCGUAAACGAUGGAUACUAGCUGUUGGGGGCAACUUCAGUGGCUAAGCGAAAGUGAUAAGUAUCCCACCUGGGGAGUACGUUCGCAAGAAUG
rnacentral:rRNA from 1 species